UUCUCCAAGGGGAAUCUCCACAACCACUUUCCCAACAAAGUCAUAUUCCUUCUCCUAAUAUUCCCAAGCCCCAAACCAUCCAUUAUGUGGAUUGGAAGUUUCUAAUUGAGAUUAUGGAUAAAUGGGACUUUGUCACAAAAUGGUGCAAAUGGAUAAAGGGAUGCCUGAAGACAUGUCAUUUUUCAGUGGUGGUGAAUGGGAGAGUAGAGCCGUAGAGGCCUUUUUUAGUGCCUUUAGAGGAGUGAGGCAAGGGGAUCCAUUGUCCCCAUUCCUAUUUACUCUCAUUGUGGAGGUGUUUAGUAGAUUGAUUGUGAAAGCGGAUGAGGGAGCACUAAUAAAGGGAUGGAGGAUAGGAAGAGAUAGGGUUAGGGUGACCCAUCUACAAUUUGCAGAUGACAUCAUAAUUUUCUAUGAAAAGGGGGGAUAACAUGAUGCGAGGAAUUUGAGAUUGUUGGUGAAUCUUUUUGAGAGAAUGACAAAUUUGAAGGUAAAUAUGAGCAAAAGUGUGGUUUCUGGUAUCAAUUUGAGUCAAGAUGAGAUUGAAGACUGGGCUAGGGAAUUAGGGUGUACUUCAAGUGGAUGGCCAUCAAGAUAUUUGGGGCUACCCUUGGGAGUGGAUCCUAGAGUGUUAUCCUUUUGGGACUCGGUGGUGGAGAAAUUUGAAAGGAAGUUAGUGGGAUGGAAGAGGAAUUAUAUCUCCUUGGGAGGUAGAAAUGACUCUUAUUAAAUCCACACUAGCUAAUCUUCUAGUUUAUUACCUUUCAGUCUUUUGCAUGCCUGAAUCCAUUGUUAAAAGAUUUGAAAAAAAUAAUGAGGGACUUCUUUGGGAGCUUGGGGAGGAGAAGAAAGAUCACUUAAUUAGAUGGGAGGUGGUAUGUAGGAGGAAAGAGUGUGGUGGGCUGGGUUUGGGAAGGAUGAAGGAAAAAGAACUGGGCUCUAUAAGGCAAAUGGCUUUGGAGAUUUCCAAGGGAGACAAACAAGCUAUGGCAUAGAGUGGUAGAGAGCAUUCAUGGGCUUUCAGAGAACAGUUGGGAUGCUGGAAUAUCUAACAGCUUCUAGUGCUUCUCCUUGGAAGGCUAUCCACAAAAUUCUGCCACACUUCUUGCCUCAUACUAGGAAUGUGAAGGAUUCAUAGUUGGAUCUUGUGUCACAAUUGCUUCUUUUGUUGGAUGGUGUUUUUAUCAAUAAUAGCAGAGUGGAUAGCCGAUUAUGGAAGGUAAUUCCUCUGGAAUGUUGACUUGUGAUCAUUCUUUAAAUUGCUGGUUUCCUCUCAUUCACUUCUAAUGUCUUUCCCUGUUAAGGAAGUGUGGUGUUGUCCAAUCCCCCCUAGGGUGAGUGCUUUUUGUUGGGAGGUUUACCAUGGUGCAAUUAAUACUCAUGAUUUUUUACAAAGGAGGAGACCUGGAUGGCGUCUAGCUCCAAACUGGUGUGUCCUGUGUGAAUCAAAUGGUGAAUAUGCUCAUAACUUGUUCAUUUCCUGUCCUUUUGCUUGUUGUAUUUGGGAUUGGUUUUUUUUCCUUGUUUGGUUGCAGGUGGAACACUCCACUUAGCUUGGAUAAAUUGUUUGAUCCCUCAACUUUCAGCUUGCCAAGAAAAGGGGAAGAGUACUUUGGAAGUGCACAAGAGCUGUAGUGAUCUGGGCAUUGUGGGAAGAAAGGAAUGAGAGAAUUUUUGAGCAGGAGAAAAGAAGUAAACAGGCUCUGAUUGAAAGUUUAAUGGUAAAGGUGACACAUUGGGUGAAGACAACUAAAUUGUUUCUUGACUUCACAUUUGAUGAUAUUUUAAGACAAUGGGGCACAAUUGCUGCAUCUCCUCAGCUAAGAAGAAGUAAGUGUCAAUCUGGAAACCUCCAAGUGAUGAUUUUUUCAAGUUGAAUUUUGAUGGGAGUUGUUUUGGUAAUCUGGGGCUGCUGGAAUGGGAGGGGUGAUAAGAAAUAGUGAAGGAAAAUUGGUGUUCUUGUUUUCUGGGCCCAUAGGGUAAGGGGACUCAAUGGGUGCAGAACUAAAGGCUGCUGUUUUUGGGGUCCAAAAGGCAUG